GCCGGGCGUGGUGGCAGGCGCCUGUAGUCCCAGCUACUCAGGAGGUUGAGGCAGGAGAAUGGCGUGAACCCAGGAAGCGGAGCUUGCAGUGAGCCGAGAUUGUGCUACUGCACUCCAGCCUGGGCAACAGAGGGAGACUCUGUCUCAAAAAAAAAAAAAAAUUAAUUUAAAAGAAGUUUUUUUUGAGACUGAGUUUCACUCUUGUUGCCCAGGCUGGAGUCCAGUGGCUCGUUCUCCACUCACUGCAACCUCUGCCUCCUAGGUUCAAGCGAUUCUCCUGCCUCA
rnacentral:sRNA from 1 species